rnacentral:misc_RNA from 1 species
AAAAAAGACCCAUUUGGAUUUGGAUCUUGAUUUGGGGAUUUGAUUGAAUUGGGUUUUGAUUGGAAUUCGGGUUUUUCAGCCAUGACCCGUCGAUGUUCACAUUGCAGUACCAAUGGCCAUAACUCAAGGACUUGUCCUAAUAGAGGUGUGAAGUUGUUUGGGGUCCGAUUGACUGAUGGGUUGAUUCGAAAAAGUGCUAGUAUGGGUAAUUUGUCCCAUUUUGCCAGUGGAAGUGGAGGUGGUAGUACACCUCUAAACGGUGUCGUUCAUGACUCACCUGGUGAUACACCUGAUCAUCCUGCUGCUGCUGGUGGCUCUGUUGAUGGUUAUGCUUCAGAGGAUUUUGUUGCUGGUUCUUCAUCUAGCCGUGAAAGGAAGAAAGGGGUUCCCUGGACUGAGGAGGAGCAUAGGAUG